GUGGGGAAUUUUGGACAAUGGGCGAAAGUCUGAUCCAGCCAUGCCGCGUGUGUGAAGAAGGCCUUUUGGUUGUAAAGCACUUUAAGCGAGGAGGAGGCUACCGAGAUUAAUACUCUUGGAUAGUGGACGUUACUCGCAGAAUAAGCACCGGCUAACUCUGUGCCAGCAGCCGCGGUAAUACAGAGGGUGCAAGCGUUAAUCGGAUUUACUGGGCGUAAAGCGCGCGUAGGUGGCCAAUUAAGUCAAAUGUGAAAUCCCCGAGCUUAACUUGGGAAUGGCAUUCGAUACUGGUUGGGUAGAGUAUGGGAGAGGAUGGUAGAAGUCCAGGUGUAGCGGUGAGAUGCGUAGAGAUCUGGAGGAAUACCGAUGGCGAAGGCAGCCAUCUGGCCUAAUACUGACACUGAGGUGCGAAAGCAUGGGGAGCAAACAGGAUUAGAUACCCGUGUAGUCC
rnacentral:rRNA from 1 species